CGCGUAGGCGGUCUGCUAAGCGUGUGGUGAAAUCUCGGGGCUCAACCCCGAGUCGGCCAUGCGAACUGGUGGACUUGAGCACUGUAGAGGCAGGUGGAAUUCCGGGUGUAGCGGUGGAAUGCGUAGAGAUCCGGAAGAACACCGGUGGCGAAGGCGGCCUGCUGGGCAGUUGCUGACGCUGAGGCGCGACAGCGUGGGGAGCAAACA
rnacentral:rRNA from 1 species